GGGGGGGGAUCUCUGGGACUUGGCAGCAUUGUUGGUACCAGACAGGCUCUUUUGACACUGAUGAUCUGAGAUUUUUCACACACAUGAAUAGUUUACACAGAAAAGCUUUUUUUUUUUUUUUUUUUUUAAUAUUAAAAAUUCUGUUUAGAUGAGGCCAUCCACCAAAUGUCAGUGAUCAGGUAAUGAGGGCAUUAGUCAGAGAAGUAACCAAGAUGCCAAGGAUCAUUUUCAACAUGAUGAUGAGCAGUGUUGGGUUUUCCAGUCAGUGUAGCUCUUUGUCACAAGGCCAAACAUGUAUUUUGGUAAACUCCAAAUAGAACUUCAUAGUCUCUGGGCUAUGGUUGUCCUGUGAACGGUUUCUCCCAUCUUUGUUGUGUAUCUCUUCAGCGCCUUCAGAUUUUCCCUUGCUUCUCCGGCUAAUGUCCUCUUUACUUGGUCACUGAUAUUUGGUGGCGUUACAGUUCUACCGUAUUCCUUCCGAUGUUUAAAUAACAGUUUUAAUGGCGGUCUGUAUAUUCUUUCAAAAAAUGAACAAACCAUGAAUGAUACCUUUUCAGAACUUUGUCUUGGACUUGUCUUGAUAUCUCCUUGGUCUUUGUGAUGCUCUUUGAGAGACGCUCUUCCGAGAACAGGUGUAUUUCUAUUAGAAUUAACUGCACACCGGUGGACUGAAUUCAACUAGGAAGAGAAGUCACAUUGCAGCAGUCACACAGCUGCUCAGAAAUUGAGACGGAAAACAUGUGAGAGGGCGAAGCGAAAAAGCCUGAGAGUGAGAGCUACAUCGAGGGAAAGGAAGUGGAAAUGCAUGUGGGUGAGUGUGUUAGGGCUGUGAGGGAGGACCGGCUUACUCUGGUUUGCGCUGCUUUUUCGACUUGUCCCUGUGCCAGGGGGUUACAGAGGGGAUGGCAGCCCUGCCGGCUUCAGCGUGUUGUUGUUUGCCCUUUAAGGAGAAUCAGUGUCUGGGGGAUGAAAUGGCUGUGUGAACAUUGGUCCCCUGCCAGAUUUUUGGAAAACAAGGUGAUUUAGUUACUACUGAAAAUGAGACACUCCUUGCCUUUUGCAGCAUUCAUAUCUACACCAUCGUGCUCAUCAUACACAGCUUAUACGCUCUACAAUACCAAAGUGCUUGAUGAGAUCCAUAAGAUUUUUGUUAAGCGACAGACAUAAACAAAUGACGUCAUGCAAUAUAGCAGAAGGUCAGACUAUCAGAAACACACUGCGCCUCAU
ensembl:lncRNA